rnacentral:rRNA from 1 species
GAUGAACGCUAGCGGCGGGCCUAAUACAUGCAAGUCGAGCGAACAGACGAGGAUCUUGCUCCUCUUACGUUAGCGGCGGACGGGGGAGUAAAACAUGGAUAACCUACGUAUAAUACUGGGAUAACUUCGGGAGAACGGAGCUAUAACCGCAUAAUAUAUUGAACCGCAUAUUUCAAUAGUGAAAAACGGUUUUGCUGUCACUUAGAGAUGGAUCCGCGCCGCAUUAUCUAGUUGGUAAGGUAACGGCUCACCAAGGCAACGAUGCGUAGCCGACCUGAGAGGGUGAUCGGCCCCCCCGCACUUGCAAUGCGGUCCGGACCACACUGGGAGGCAGCAGAAGAGAAUGUAACGCAAGGCGCGGAAGCUUAGCGGAGCCCAGCCGCGUGAGUGAUGAAGGUCUUCGGAUCGUAAACCUCUGUUAUUAGGGAAGAACAACUGUGUAAGCCACUAUGCACGUCUUGACGGUACCCAAUCAGAAAGCCACGGCUAACUCCGUG